rnacentral:lncRNA from 1 species
CCAGCCUUAACACAUAACAACAACAACACAGUCCAAUAACACAAGCAUAAACAUGUAACACAGUCCAAUAACACCAGCAUAAACAGGUAACACAGUCCAAUAACACCAGCAUAAACAGGUAACACAGUCCAAUAACACCAGCAUAAACAGGUAACACAGUCCAAUAACACCAACAUAAACAUGUAACACAGUCCAAUAACACCAGCAUAAACACGUAACACAGUCCAAUAACACCAGCAUAAACAUGUAACACAGUCCAAUAACACCAGCAUAAACACGUAACACAGUCCAAUAACACCAGCAUAAACAGGUAACACAGUCCAAUAACACCAGCAUAAACAGGUAACACAGUCCAAUAACACCAGCAUAAACAGGUAACACAGUCCAAUAACACCAGCAUAAACAUGUAACACAGUCCAAUAACACCAGCAUAAAGAAAAUAGCCCAUAAAGUACCCUCCUUCCAAACACAACCUUACUUGACUUCAGAAAUACACUCAUUAUGCCAGUAGGACAUGCUGAGAAUGAUAAACACAAUACCCACUGACACACACGAUGCAGGAAUGCACACACACACACACACACACACACACACACACAAACACACA